UGCAUCGUGACGCGCUCCACCCUCCCUAAACCCUGCUGUUUGCGCACACACACACACACACACACACACACACACACACACACACACACACACACACACACACACACACACACACACACAAUUAUGUACUACAGGACUACAAAACAACAUGGCAGACUAGUCCUCCAUCUUAGUUCAUACUGAUUAUUCUUUUGAUUCACAUGUCUGCCUAUCUGAGUUUUUUAUGCUCCUUCUCUCCCUUCCUCUCUCCCAGCUUCUCUCUCUCUCUGUCCUGCCACCUUCUCCACUCUGCGACCAGCAUUUGGCUUUUUCCACUUGUGGCAGAUUACUGUAAGGCUAUUGUAAAACAACUUCCUGCCUCUUUUGGCUCUGGUUCCAAAAAACGGCAAAGGCUGGGCUCACGCGUCUCCCCCCCUCUCUCCCCGAAGUAUCAGAAGGUCUAAAAAGAGAGAAACCAGAAAAAGGAAAAGUGUAAAAUCUCUGUCUCCUCUUGAGGACUUAUUUUGAUGCCUUGUGUCUUUAAUGCCACAUGAGAAGUAAAGGAGGAGAGCAGGGGACUGCAUGCCUAGCAGAACGGAAAGAACAGCACAGCAACACCGGACCGACUGGAGGCUCCUCCGCUAGCUCACUCCGAGGACUCUCUCCUCUCCUCCUCUCUUCAUGACAAGGUUCAAUAAGACACAGGUGGCCACAUUCAAUGGACCUGCAGAGGGAAAAAACAUUGUUUGUAUUUACUUACUGAAGACAUGGUGCAACCAAGUUCGGGCGUUAUUAACAGUCUCUCUAGUCUUCUUUUUAAAAAAUGACACAAAAUGGGUUGGAUGUGUCUGCAUUGGAAUGAGCUAGAACCCUAAAACCCUAGAACCCAAUCCAAAGCACCGCAGCCUCACGUCACAUCUCGCCAUGCGUUUUAACCAAUUGAAAAACUAAUUUCUUUGCGUUGAAACAUAUAGGUUUAAACAUACAGUUUGUGGAUAAUGUAGAUAUAUUAUAGAAUAUGUAUUUUUGUAUGCACAAUCCUGCUCAGUUUCAGUAGAGGACAGACAGUAGGGAAAAUGGACAUGGAACUAUGAAUUUGUUUUAGUUGUUGGUUUGGAACGGUCUGUAGUGAUAAUUUAGCUUAGUGUGCACGUAGCACAGCAUUUGCAAGAAGUUCACUUGAGGAUAGGGUUUUGGUUUUGGGAGGAUGCCAACUUUUACGACUGCGUGCCUCUUACCUCGUUCCCCUCUUCUCUACUCUGGUUGCAUUUGUCUGUAAUGAAUUAUAUUUUAAAAUGUAUUUAUAUAUGUAAUUAUAUAUGUAAUUAUUAUAUUUUAAGUUGUGUUUUAGAAUUAUAAAUGACUUUAACCAUGCUUUCUUUAAACACAUUUCAAAUAAUAAAUUAAGCCAUUUUAAGAUGGCACGUUUUAAUAUUUUUUUUAACUUAGAUAUUUUUUAAGGAAUGCUUUCUUACACAGGUGUGUAUAAGAACUGUACAACAAUACCUUUAAAAAAACCAUGUCCUAGUACUACAGAAAAAAAGCUUGGAGGGAGGACAGGGAGGUAAAUGUAACUAUUCCUUCUUUAGUAUAUUUGAAGGGAUUUCUUAACCCUAUUGUUAAUAAUUACGAUAUGCUAUGGAAUGCUAUGUAUCUGAAUCAGCAUGAACUCUUAGAAUCUUUAGAUGAAAUCACAAUAGAUUAAAUGGUUAAUAAAGUUUAAAGUAAAUAUCCAACCUGUUAGUCAAAGCUAUGUUCCUGGUUUUGAAAUGCUACAAAUCCACAUAACUCACUACAGUGGAUGGUGAAGGAUAGAAUGAUCAGAGUAGGAAGUUAACUAACACGUCAGUAAAUGUGACUUAGCUAUCGACACGUGAAUACCGAUUCAGUCAUUCAGUCCUAUUCAAGGAAAUGUUCAUUAAAAUGGCGGACGCUGCCAUGUCAUUUGCUUCAUUCGGAAUGUUAACGUAUUGUGAUACAUUCAAAACUUAACCUUGCUUAAUAAAAUCUAUUCCCGUACUACACAUUUUGUAAAAAGUGAACUACAACGACUCCAGGAAAAAUCCUCACACAUUUAGUUUCUGUCUUUUAACCCUUAAAUUGACAAGCUGGUUAUACAUUUGUAAGGAAGUAUUUGGAAUAACAAACUCAUAAUUCAACAGAAAAAAUGAAGCACAAUCAAUAUGAAAAUUGCUAUGUGGUCUUAGAUAACUUAAAAUCUAUGACAAAACAACUAAAAUAGUAUCCAACAAUUUCAUAUGUAGUUGCUGUACAGAUUAAUAAAUACAUUCAAUGUUAACCACUAUGUAUAAUGUAUAUCACUAGUAUAUAUGGUAAAAACAGAUCAUGCAAAUAUAAUUUUCUCCAACUGGUCCUACAGAAAAUUAUAACUUUUGUUAGUAUGCAUGUUGGAUCUUAUCAUGGUAAACAAAAAAUAUGUAAUACAUCAAAUGUUUAUUUUGGGAUAAUAAGAAUUCCUGAUCAUGCAAAAUGUAGGCUGUGGAUUCUCACUUCUUGCUUUUCUCAUGUGUUAUGAGUAAUUAACUAAAUAAAAGGGUCAGCCAAGGGAAGAUCAAACUAAAUGCAACAUAUUAUCUUUGCAAAAGAACAACAAGAUAGAUCUAUGUACAACACUACAUCUUUAUUUUCUGCACAGGGGGCAUAAUCAUGGCAUUCUCUGAUUUAUCUCAUUGAAAUGUCUCUUUUUUUUUGCCUCACUUUAAAACGUUUUGUGCUCCAUCAUUUUUAUACAUAAGUUGGAGUCACAGAGUAACAGUCACAAGGUCUCUGUAUUUUCAAAGCUGUCAUACCUAACACUUGGUAUUCCAUGUAGGUCACAUAAGGAGAGUCGAGGACACAUGAUUAGGAGCCUGUUUGCUUGUCUUUAGUGUCUAGAAACACAGGAAACAGCCAGGAAAGGAAGGCUGAGGAAUAUGAAAUUGCAGUGGGCAGUAGCGCCGCAUAGGCAAACAUGAUCUACACUCCUUUACCCAUUAACCACCAACAGGAGUACAAGCCAGAUUUCUGACUGUGCAGGAUCAGAAACUGCAAUGCAUCAGGAUACCAGGCACAUACAGCUGACACAUCAGACAGAAACAAUUGAUAUUCUAUAGCAGGGUUCCUGACAUAAAAGACUGUAAAAUCACCAGGACAUCAGCUUAAAGUGAUUUUAAUUGAGAAAAUCUGUUCCCAAGUCUUCCCACGCAUAAACAGAGGCAUACAGUAUGUGAUCGUAUCCCAAUGUUAUCAAGGUUUGAAAUGAUUCUGUUUUUGUCAAAUACUAUAUCUGUUUGGGAUUAUUGCGGUCAAUUUGCAGUCUACAAAUUAUUUGGAACCAUGUCCCCCCCCCCCCCCCCCCUGACCAUCCACUCAAGGAAAAAUUGGCCUGUGACUGAAUGUAUUAGGGACCCUGUUUUAAAGGAAGCUAAUCAGGAGGAUAGCACCAACCCACAAGGCCGGAUGGCCCUACGUACGCAGGGAUGAAAGACUUGGACUCCCUCUCUAGGAACAGGGGCCGAGUGAGUCUAUGAGGUGGUCUUGCUUCAACCAGGCACGUGUCUAAACAACUUCUCUAUUACACCUGACCUCUGAGGGCACUCCCCAUCGAGCAGGGAACAAAGGCCAUGACCCUGGGGUCAAAAGUGUUAUACGGGAGGCCCAAUGAGGAACCCAGUGCUGUUUGCUUUAAGAAGGUAAAGAUGACUAACACAUUAACUAAUGCUGAAUAGGGGAUUAUCCCCGAGGGACGUCACUCACAGGGUCUACACAUCACGUCUUAUUAACACCCCUGACCUCUGGUCCGUCACCUCAGGCAGCUGACUGCGACCGCCACUCUCCCUUUCUGUCUAUGUGUAAGAAUAACACGCACACGCACGCACGCACACACACACACACACACACACACACACACACACACACACUACAAGACGGUGGUAGGGAUGGGUGCAACGUUGCUUGAAAAAAGUUUUUACAAUCACUAUAAUUAAUUACUGAGUAUCAAUUCUGAAUUACAAACAGUAAUACUUAAUAGUAGUAUUGCCAUGAGAAACAAAAUAUAAGAAACCUUUGAACUUUAUACCGGGCAUUUAGUUUAAUUUCAAGUCUUUGUUUUAUGUAUGAUUAGCAAAUGUGUAUCUUUGACAUUUAAUUUCACAAUGAUCAUGAGUCAAGGAAUUUAUUUACACCCUACACAACAAUAGAUUCCCUCAAAUUGAUCCUCCGUGUUACUGAGCUGCAAGUGUUCCACGGCACUUCCUAAAAUGGGAGCAUUUAGAUAAAGUUCUGAUCACAAAAUGGUGGACAGAAGACAUGCGCAGUGUGGAUAUCAUGGAUAAUAUUACACGAUAUGAUAGAUAGACCCUUUCAACAGCACAUGCUUAUUCACACAUUUUCAAUUAUUACGUAUGUAUUGAGUGGGUGAGUAAAUUAAUUGUGUCAAUGUGAAAAAGUGGAAGCUGACUUAACCCUAUAUCUCCUGGCAGAUUACACCUACAUAUUCAUUAUUGAAACUAAACAAGCAUGGUUUCAUUUCAUUGGGUGUACUGUUACGUGCAAUACCUCAUAAUGUAAUGAUACCAUUUUCUUCUGAAAAACAAAUAUGAAAUGUGAUUAUUAUGUGUAUGAGGAAAUCAAUUUCUGAGAUGGUGAUGUUUAAGAAUUAAGAAUUUGCUUUGUUGUACACAUUUACACUUGAAUAUUGUACAAUCUUAAAGAAAAUUGUAUUUGUGAAAUAUGUUCUAUUCGUCAUGUGUUUUCUUUUUAGAAAUGGGUUCACAGCUCAACUUAACAUUAUAAAAGUCAAGUAUUCAUUUGAAUUGAAAAUAGAAGAUGUCUUUUCUAAUGACAAUACCAUUUUCAAUAUAUGUAUAAUGAAGGGCCUUUGGAAAGAAUAUCAAUACAUAACAAAUAACUCUGUAGCUAUAGCAAUGAAUAAUACAAUGAAUUAGUUACUGUCACAAAAUAUGUUGUAUUACAUACCUCAAUAGAAAAAGGUGGAACAAAGAGCUUACAUUUCAAAUCAAAUCAAAUUGUAUUUGUCACAUGCCCCGAAUACAACAGGUUUAGACCCUACAGUGAAAUGCUUACUUACAAGCUCUUAACCAACCAUGCUUCAAGAAGUUUUAAUAAAAUAAGUGUUAGGUAAAUAAUUGAUAAGUAAAAAAUUCAAAAUAUAAGUAAACAAAAAAUGUAAUGGCAGCAGUAAAAUAACAAUAGUGAGGCUAUAUACAAGGGGGUACUAUAUGAUUAAUAUAGAAUGAAUACAUCAUUGGAAGUGCAUUGAUUAGAUAAUAACUGAUAUUACAAAUCAAGAAUGAAUAUCAACCGGGUAAGAAGAAAUCACUUCAAACCUAAAUUAGGCUAUUCCAAAGAAUCUGUCGAAAUUUGUCAACCACAUGUCGAAUUAAAAUCAGGUGCAUCUGCGUGUAAUUGUAACAAAUGAUGCAAUAAUAAACUGCCAUAUAGCAAGUCCUUCAUCUACAAUCAAACAUUGUGAUUUACAUUUUUUUUUAAAGCUAAAAUAAGUCAUGUCUGCCAACAAGGUUAAGCAUUUUCCCAUGAUCAGAAUUUCAAAAAAGAUGGGAAUAAAUUAUUUAUACGUAAAUUAUAUUGAAAGGAUUUUGAAAUAUCGAAAUAGCAUAUUUUUCCAAUAAAACAUGUAUUCAAAGGAAAUAAGCUCGCACACACCACUCUGGCAAAGUAUCACUCAUUUACAUCCACGCCAACUUAUUUUCUUUGAAUAACUGUUUCACUCUUCCAAUGCACCUGCUAAGCAACAAGUAACACUCUCUUUAAUUUAAAUAAAACAUUAACAAGUAGAAAAUAAUCAUUGAAUUUAUGAAAAUGAACUGCACAGUAUCAUUUGACACAGUAAGCAAGGCUGCAAAUGAUAUAUAUUCACUUCUAAUUGAAGAGGUAUGAACCUUUAUCAGUAACAUUUAACACUUUAACCUCUACAUCUGUAUAUCUGAAUGUAUUCAUCUGUGAAAUUCCAGCAAACCAAUAUGCUAUGGUCAUUAAACAAUGAGCUGUGAGAUUAUUGUAUUGAUGCUUUCUUUACACAGAGAUGUUUUUCAUAAAUGUGAUGUUUUGAAUGAGAAGUCAAGGCCAAAGCAUGUGGGAGUAACUUACAAGAUUCAAGAGUCAUGAAGAUUAAUGUCAUCUUGUUAUGGUUUUUAUGCAUUGAGUAUGUCGGAGAAUAGUAAUUAAACUAUUUUACCAUGUGUUUUCAGGGAAAUAUUUAAGUCAUUUUACGAAAUUA